rnacentral:rRNA from 1 species
UGCAUUUUUUAGAGAUAGAAAUUCCCUUCGGGGCUUUCUGCAAGGUGCUGCAUGGUUGUCGUCAGCUCGUGCCGUGAGGUGUCGGGUUAAGUCCCAUAACGAGCGCAACCCUUAUCGUUAGUUGCCAUCUGGUAAUGCAGGGGACUCUAGCGAAACUGCCACCGUAAGGUGAGAGGAAGUGGGAUGACGUCAAAUCAGCACGGCCCUUAUGUCCAGGGCUACACACGUGUUACAAUGGUCGGUACAGAGGGCAGCUACCUGGUGACAGGAUGCUAAUCUCGAAAACCGGUCUCAGUUCGGAUCGAAGUCUGCAACUCGACUUCGUGAAGCUGGAUUCGCUAGUAAUCGCGCAUCAGCUAUGGCCGCGGUCGAAUACGUUCCGGCCUU